rfam:Taenia asiatica genome assembly, scaffold: TASK_contig0001080
AUCGCUUCAUGUGUAGUAUCUGUUCUUUGCAGCGUAAUUUCUGCAACGGUCCCUAAUUUGGGACCAAUGAAAUUACCUGUAUUUUUCCAAGUGGGACGGGUGCUGUGAGCUUGCUCAACCCCGUCCAAGGGUCGGGGUCGGCCUCGUAUUGCAUUACCUCGAGGAUUGGCCCCAUUGGU